rnacentral:antisense_RNA from 1 species
UCGAUAUUUCCUUCGCUGGAAUCAUUUGACACUGAAGCCCUAGCUGUUCGAGCAGUUGGGGCUUCAACA